AUUUAAUUUGCAAUUUCUCGACUUAUGGUUAUGUAGUUUUUCUUCCGUAUUAUGCACUUUUUAUACACUUACAAUUCACCACAAUAUUUCUACAUAUUUAUUUUUUAUUAAUAUUUUAGAUGUUUGCUUAAAAUAAGCAUUUUAUAUUUUACAUAAAUAUUAUUACACGCACAAUAACAAUAAGUGUUCCGUGUUGUCAAAUAAUAAGUAUUGCCAUAUCUACACAUUUAUCAAACGAAUAAAAAAUAGGUUUAUACGCCAAAUACAUAAAUCAUUAUCCUUUUUUCUUUCUAUAUCAUGAGUAAUAAUCAAAAAAGGAGUUUUACUCGAAAAAAAACCCUGACACACCCUGGUGUUGGCACACCCCGGUGUUGGAUCGGCCAGGGUUAUUUUUUUGAAGCGCGGCCGAAGGCCGUCAACGCAAAACGGAGUUUUACUCGAAAAAAACCUGACACACCCCGGUGUUGGAUCGGCCAGGGUUAUUUUUUUGAAGCGCGGCCAAAGGCCGCCAACGCAAAAAGGAGUUUUACUCGAAGAAAAAUCUGACACACCCUGGUGUUGGCACACCCCGGUGUUGGAUCGGCCAGGGUUAUUUUUUUGAAGCGCGGCCGAAGGCCGCCAACGCAAAAAGGAGUUUUACUCGAAAAAAACCUGACACCCCGGUGUUGGAUCGGCCAGGGCUAUUUUUUUGAAGCGCGGCCGAAGGCCGCCAACGCAAAAAGAGAGUUUCAAUCGUAAAAACCUGACACACCCAGGUGUUGGUCGCCCAGGAUAAUUUUUUUCAUGCAUUUGAGUUUUUUUUAUUUAUUUCUAUUGUUUUCAAUCAUUUGUGAUAUGGUAACACUUAUUAUUUGACAACACGGAACACUUACUGUUAUUGUGCGUGUAGUAAUAUUUAUGUAAAAUAUAAAAUGCUUAUUUUAAGCAAAUAUCUAAAAUAUUAAUAAAAAAUAAAUAUGUAUGUAGAAAUAUUGUAGCGAAUUGUAAGUGUAUAAAAAGUGCAUAAUACGGAAGAAAAACUAACCAUAAGUCGAGAAAUUGCAAAAUUAAAUUUGCAAAAUUUUCAACUUUAAAUGCAAAUAUCUCAAAAACUAUAAGUUUGCGGCGGCAAUAAUUAUAUAUAUUCUUAAUCUGGUGCAUCAGCACUAUCCAACCAUACCACUUUUAACCCUGAAAUCGUGGGAUGGUAUACUAAAGUUUCCCCCGUACAUGUAUACACAAUCUAGUUUAGUACACUUUAUACUGUGAAGCUGUGAAGACGAGACAAUAAAUUACCGGAGCAUUAUACUAUACACGAUUGUCUUAUUAUUCACGCAAACAAGUAGGUUCUUACAGUGGCGACGAGGAUGGGAUUAUGUGUAGCAGCAGAACAUUUUCUUUCAGUUGAAAAAAAAACUAAAAUUUGUUUAAUUUCUUCCACGCAAAUAAAGCAUCGGUUUUUCUGCAUCGGAUUUUUCUUAGCGAGUCAAAAGCAGCGAGUUGAUAUACAUACAUAUAUACAUAGUUGAUGUAAUUGCGACGGAGAAGAUAUUUCUUUACAUGUAGCAAAUCAGCACAACUGUCAACUCGAAGCAACGAGUUGAUACACACAUACAUAGUUGAUGAAAUAGCGAAGGAGAAAAUAUUUCUUUACAUUCAUCAAACCAGCACAACUGUCAAUAAGAGACGUAGCAAACAAAAAAAAAAAAAGUAUACAAGUUAAUAAGCAAAGGCCAUUCAAUUGGCGCAACUGAAUAAGUAAAGAGGCUGCCCGUUAAAUUGGUUUGUUGAGCGACAAAUACAGUGGCCAUUAAAUUGGGAAAGCAUUUAAUUGGAAAUUAAAAGCCACUGAACUGGUAAAAUAUACUUCUGUCCGGGGCAUUAAAUUGGCUAAAGAAGAAAUAAAAGCAAGCAAGAUGAGCGAAAUUAAACCAUUCCUGUGCGAUAGCAUUGAUAGGGCGUUAUUACGAAGCGAGUGGGAAAAAUGGCUGAGGUCGUUUACUCUGUAUCUUCAAUCGGAAGAUAUUACAAAUGAGGUAAAGCGAAGAAACAAACUGCUUCAUUUAGGUGGGCCACAACUACAAGAGGUAAUUUAUAAUAUCCCUGGGGCCAUUGUGGAAGUUGACACUGAACAGCCGGAGAGACACAUAUAUAGAAACAUAGCGCCUUUGGAGAGCGAAAAUUUUAACAAUUUCUUGUUGCGUUUGAGGUACAAAGCUUCUAAAUGUCAUUUUGGCGAAACAAAAAGCGAAAUAGACAUCGCUCUAAAAGAUAAACUCAUUGAGUCGUGGGCUCCAGUGGAGCUUAAAAAACGCUUACUUGAAAAAGAACACGACUUGAAAGAAAUUAUUGAUGCUUGCCAGAUUCAUGAGCAGAUAUAUAAACAAUCGCAGGACAUGUUGCCUAAAAAAGAGGGUGAAGAAGUGAACAGGGUGGUUGCAAAAUCAAAAGGGAGCAGGAAUAAUGGGGGUGAGUGUGGUAGAUGUGGUCAGGCGGGGCACGUGAGCUCUGACAUUAAUUGUCCAGCAAGAAAUGCUAAAUGCAAUAAAUGUGGAUUAAUAGGGCAUUACUCACGCAAAUGCAAAACAAAGAGUUUAAAAAGAAAACUCGGCGACGUAAAAUACAAUAAUUCGAAACAGCGCCGAUUACAUCCGUCAAAAGUUAGGUGUAUCGAAAAAGUUAACAACGACUCAUCAGAUGAUUCCCUACAAUAUGAUUGCCUUCAAGUGGAAUCGUGCGAAUCGACGAACGAAUUGAUAAGUUGCGAUUGUUGGACAUACUGUCCCUAUGAUAAUAGAUUCAGGAUCUAGGUUUAACUUGUUAGGUCAAGACGUUUGGAAUGCGUUGAAUGCAGCUAAUAAAAUUUUAACAGUCUUAUAUGUUUUCGAGGCACCAAUAGGGGUGAGAAAGGGUACGGAAGUUAUAGCUACUUUUUAUGUAAUAAAAGAUGGGAAACAAUCUCUUCUCGGCCGAGAUACUGCAAUUCAACUCAAGGUAUUGAUAUUGGGGCUUGACGUAAAUAGAAUUGAGAAAAUAGAACCGUUUCCGAAAAUUUUCAAUAUUAAGAUAAAGCUAUAGUUUGAUAAGUCCAUUAAACCAGUCAAACAGCAUUUACGUCGCAUUCCAGUUGCCCUAGAGAAACAAGUUGAGAAGAAAUUAGAAGAAGCGCUCGCAAAGGAGCCAGUUAGGGGUCCAACUCAAUGGAUCUCACCAAUUGUCGUAGUUCUAAAAGAUCAUGGUGAAAUUCGUCUUUGCGUCGAUAUGCGUAGGGCCAAUAAAGCUGUGCCCACGUUCGAUACCUUUAUGACGAAACUGAGCGAUGCAAAAAUAUUUUCUCGACUUGAUCUUAAAUGGGCGUAUCACCAAUUGGAACUUGAAGAAUCAAGUCGAGAAAUUACAACAUUCAUAACACAUAAAGGUUUGUUUCGUUACAAAAGAUUAAUGUUUGGCAUCAAUUCCGCCCAGAAAUAUUUCAGCGGGUUUUCGAGGAGCUACUCUCGACGUGUCAAAAUUGCUUGAAUUAUUUAGACGAUAUUAUCGUAUAUGGGAAAUCGGAAAAAGAUCAUGACUCAGCCGUUGAAAAUGUACUUAAGGUUUUGAAGAACAACAAUGUUUUACUCAAUGAUGAAAAAUGCGUUUGGGGGGCAAGAAAACUUAAAUUUUUUGGUCACGUAUUGUCGGAUGUAGGUAUAUUUCCGGACCCGGACAAAAUUAAAACAAUUAUGGAGUUUAGAGCACCGCAAACAAAAGAAGAAACAAGAAGGUUUCUUGGCCUCAUCACGUACAUCGGAAAAUUUAUACCGGAUAUGGCUGAUACGACAGAGCCGCUGAGAAAGCUACUUAAGUUAGAUGCAAAAUUUAUAUGAGGCCCCACACAACAAAACGCUUUUGCAAAACUGAAACAUCUUUUAUCAAACAUACCCACCUUAUCAUAUUUUGAUCCCUCAAAUAUAACAAGGGUUAUUGCGGAUGCGAGUCUUGUGGCUUUGGGUGCAGUCCUUAUACAGUUUAAUUCUAAUAAUGAACCGAAUAUUAUUUCUUUUGCCAGUAAAAGCCUUUCGGAGGUAGAAUAAAGAUAUUCUCAAACAGAAAAAGAAAGUUUGGCGCUUGUAUGGGCUGUCGAGAGGUUCUAUUACUACUUAGUAUUACUAGACUUUGAAUUGGUCACCGAUCAUAAGCCUCUUGAAACCAUAUUUAAGCCAACUUCAAAACCACCUGCGAGAAUUGAACGGUGGCUGUUGGGGCUUCAGUCGUUUAAAUUUAAAGUUAUAUACCGCUCAAGAAAAGAAAAUAUUGCGGACUCCCUUUCGAGGUUAUGUAAAUUGGAAAGAGCGAAGUCCUUUGAUGACAACGUAGAGAAAUCUAUUUUUCACAUAAUUUCCAAUUCAACACCAACAGCAUUGGCCAUAAGCGAGAUCUCAGAGAAGGGUUCAAGGGAUAAAGAAAUAACUGAAGCCAUGGAGUGUAUUAAAUGUGACAGCUGGCCAUAAAAUACUAUCAAUAGAUACUUUCCAUUUAGACACGAAUUAACAACAGUUGGUGAUAUAAUCUUGCGCGGCACCCGGAUAGUUAUACCAACAGACCUACGGGCGAAGGUUUUGGAGCUAGCUCAUGAAGGACACCCUGGUGAAUCCGCCAUGAAAAGAAGGUUGAGGGCAAAAGUGUGGUGGCCUUUAAUUGACAGAGAAGUAGAAACCUUUGAGAAAAAUUGUCGUAACUGUUUAAUGGUUUCACGUCCAAAUAAUCCUGCGCCGAUGCAAAGGCAUGUAUUUCCAAAUGGCCCUUGGCAAUGUGUAGCUACAGACCUGUUGGGACCCCUACCGAAUAACGAAUAUCUACUCGUUUUAAUUGAUUAUUAUUCACGCUACCAAGAAAUAAAAUUCUUGAGGAAAAUUACCUCUGAUGAAAUAAUUAACGCUUUACAAGCAAUUUUUUGUCGCUUAGGAUUACCUAGAUCAUUAAGAGCAGAUAAUAAAAGGCAAUUUAUUAGCACAGAGUUUAGAAAAUAUUGCAAAGAUAACAACAUCCCCCUAAUCACGACACCACCCUAUUGGCCUCAAGCAAACGGCGAAGUUGAAAAUAUGAAUAAGUCGUUGGUGAAACGCUUGAAAAUUAAUUGUAAUGUAUAAUGUUACCCCUCAUGGUACUACCGGAUCCGCACCAACUGAACUGAUGUUUAACCGCACGAUUCGACACAAGAUACCGGGGAUACAAGAUAUAUCUGAUGAUAUUUUAGACUCGGCAACGCGAGACUUGGAUAUGAUAAAUAAACAAAAAGGGAAAAGGAAGGGGGAUACGACCCGCAUCGCAAAACCAUCUGAUAUAAAGCCGGGAGACAAAGUAUUACUUCGCAACGUAGUGACCUCACAUAAACUUACGCCCACGUUUAACUCCACGGAAUACGAAGUCGUAGAGUGUUGUGAAAAUGAAGUGAUAGUAGCGGCUGACGGAAAACGCGUUCUUAGGAAUAUAAGCCACGUUAAGAAGGUGCCACUUCAGGUCCAAGGCGAAAACUCAACUCAAACUGCAGUGUCUGGAAUAACACCCCCUGCCACAUCCACACCUCGCCCUCAACCAUCAACCACUGACAGUCACAACGAACAUCGGACCAAUACCUCUGGAAGUUGCAAGCCUAAAGACGGAUCCAAAAUACGUUUGAAGCUUUAUAAUAAAGGAGGGAUGUGAAGAACCGAACCAGAGAGCGAACAACGAGAGCCUACCAAUACCGAGUAAAUUACGUACAUGUAUACACAUUCUAGUUUAGUACACUUUAUACUGUGAAACUGUGAAGACGAGACAAUAAAUUACCGGAGUAUUAUACUAUACACGAUUGUCUUAUUACUCACGCAAACAAGUAGGUUCUUACACCACAUAUAAUGGUUUUCGUUUUUCUAACAAACCUUGUGUAUAUGUCAGUAUAGGAUUUAUAUAGCAUUUCCAGCAUUUCCCUGGGUUUGAUUAUUUUCUUUGUGGAUUCAAUAAAAAGAUAAAUAAUAAAUGAUAAAUGAAUUCAUCUGAUACUAAUAAAGGAAAAAUUAAACGUGUCCGCUGCAAUUCAACAAGAAGGUGGACGGUGCCAGAAGAAAAGGCGCUUAUGGACUUUCUAUCUGAAG